AACCUUACCAGGUCUUGACAUCCGAUGCUAUUUCUAGAGAUAGAAAGUUACUUCGGUACAUCGGUGACAGGUGGUGCAUGGUUGUCGUCAGCUCGUGUCGUGAGAUGUUGGGUUAAGUCCCGCAACGAGCGCAACCCCUAUUGUUAGUUGCCAUCAUUCAGUUGGGCACUCUAGCGAGACUGCCGGUAAUAAACCGGAGGAAGGUGGGGAUGACGUCAAAUCAUCAUGCCCCUUAUGACCUGGGCUACACACGUGCUACAAUGGUUGGUACAACGAGUUGCGAGUCGGUGACGGCGAGCUAAUCUCUUAAAGCCAAUCUCAGUUCGGAUUGUAGGCUGCAACUCGCCUACAUGAAGUCGGAAUCGCUAGUAAUCGCGGAUCAGCACGCCGCGGUGAAUACGUUCCCGGGCCUU
rnacentral:rRNA from 1 species